CGGUAAUACGUAGGGGGCUAGCGUUAUCCGGAAUUACUGGGCGUAAAGGGUGCGUAGGCGGUUGAUAAAGUCUGUGGUUUAACAUAUGAGCUUAACUCAUAUCAGCCGUAGAAACUUAUCAACUUGAGUAUGGGAGAGGAAAGUGGAAUUCCUAGUGUAGCGGUGAAAUGCGUAGAUAUUAGGAGGAAUACCAGUGGCGAAGGCGACUUUCUGGACCAAAACUGACGCUGAGGCACGAAAGCGUGGGGAGCAAACAGGAUUAGAUACCCCUGGUAGUCCACGCCGUAACGAUGAGCACUAGGUGUCGGGGGAGACCUCGGUGCCGGCGUAAACNCAAUAAGUGCUCCNCCUGGGGAGUACGUUCNCAANAAUAAAACUCAAAGGAAUUGACNGGGGACCCGCNCANUUAGCGGAGCAUGNGNUUUANUUC
rnacentral:rRNA from 1 species